ACACGUAUGUCGCAAGCGUUAUCCGGAAUUAUUGGGCGUAAAGCGAGUCUAGGCGGCUUGUUAAGUCAGAUGUGAAAAUGCGGGGCUCAACUCCGUAUUGCGUUUGAAACUGGCAGGUUAGAGUACUGGAGAGGUGGGCGGAACUACAAGUGUAGAGGUGAAAUUCGUAGAUAUUUGUAGGAAUGCCGAUAGUGAAGACAGCUCACUGGACAGAUACUGACGCUAAAGCUCGAAAGCGUGGGGAGCGAACAGGAUUAGAAACCCGGGUAGUCC
rnacentral:rRNA from 1 species